GACGAACGCUGGCGGCGUGCUUAACACAUGCAAGUCGAACGGAAAGGCCCUGCUUUUGUGGGGUGCUCGAGUGGCGAACGGGUGAGUAACACGUGAGUAGCCUGCCCUUGACUUUGGGAUAACUUCAGGAAACUGGGGCUAAUACCGGAUAGGAGCUCCUGCUGCAUGGUGGGGGUUGGAAAGUUUCGGCGGUUGGGGAUGGACUCGCGGCUUAUCAGCUUGUUGGUGGGUUAGUGGCUUACCAAGGCUUUGACGGGUAGCCGGCCUGAGAGGGUGACCGGCCACAUUGGGACUGAGAUACGGCCCAGACUCCUACGGGAGGCAGCAGUGGGGAAUAUUGCACAAUGGGCGGAAGCCUGAUGCAGCAACGCCGCGUGCGGGAUGACGGCCUUCGGGUUGUAAACCGCUUUCGCCUGUGACGAAGCGUGAGUGACGGUAAUGGGUAAAGAAGCACCGGCUAACUACGUG
rnacentral:rRNA from 1 species